rnacentral:rRNA from 1 species
UACGGAGGGUGCAAGCGUUAUCCGGAUUCACUGGGUUUAAAGGGUGCGUAGGCGGGCAGGUAAGUCAGUGGUGAAAUCUUCGAGCUUAACUCGGAAACUGCCUUUGAUACUAUCUGUCUUGAAUAUUGUGGAGGUAAGCGGAAUAUGUCAUGUAGCGGUGAAAUGCUUAGAUAUGACAUAGAACACCUAUUGCGAAGGCAGCUUACUGCGCAUAUAUUGACGCUGAGGCACGAAAGCGUGGGGAUCAAACAGG